rnacentral:misc_RNA from 1 species
GAUGAAGAACGCAGCGAAAUGCGAUAAGUAAUGUGAAUUGCAGAAUUCAGUGAAUCAUCGAAUCUUUGAACGCACAUUGCGCCCGCCAGUAUUCUGGCGGGCAUGCCUGUUCGAGCGUCAUUUCAACCAUCAAGCCCCAGGCUUGUGUUGGGGACCUGCGGCUGCCGCAGGCCCUGAAAACCAGUGGCGGGCUCGCUGUCACACCGGGCGUAGUAGCACAUCUCGCUCAGGGCGUGCGGCGGGCUCCAGCCGUUAAAGCACCCACCUUUCGCAAGGUUGACCUCGGAUCAGGUAGGAAUACCCGCUGAACUUAAGCAUAUCAAUAAGCGGAGGA